rnacentral:rRNA from 1 species
GCUAUCACUCCUACGGGAGGGCAGCAGUAGGGAAUCUCCGCAAUGGGCGAAAGCCUGACGGAGCAACGCCGCGUGAGUGAAGGAAGGUCUUCGGAUCGUUAAAACUCUGUUAUUAGGGAAGAACAAAUGUUGUAAGUAACUAUGCACGUCUUGACGGCUACCUAAUCAGAAAGCCACGGCUAACUUACGUGCCAGCAGCCGCGGUAAUACGUAGGUGGCAAGCGUUAUCCGGAAUUAUUGGGCGUAAAGCGCGCGUAGGCGGUUUUUUAAGUCUGAUGUGAAAGCCCACGGCUCAACCGUGGAGGGUCAUUGGAAACUGGAAAACUUGAGUGCAGAAGAGGAAAGUGGAAUUCCAUGUGUAGCGGUGAAAUGCGCAGAGAUAUGGAGGAACACCAGUGGCGAAGGCGACUUUCUGGUCUGUAACUGACGCUGAUGUGCGAAAGCGUGGGGAUCAAACAGGAUUAGAUACCCUGGUAG